rnacentral:rRNA from 1 species
CAUCAAGUCAUGUUCCCAUGAGGAGAUCACCCAGCUCAUCAUGCUAGAGCAAUUUUUCAAUGGGCUCCCCAACAACAAGGCGACGAAGCAUUCGUAUGUCAUCCAUAUCAACUUUCGAUGCCAUUUACUGUGCCUACCAUGGUGACCAUGGGUAACGGGGAAUCAGGGCUCGAUUCCGGAGAGGGAGCCUGAGAAACGGCUACCAUAUGCAAGGAAGGCAGCACGCGCGCAAAUGACCCACUCCCGACGCGGGAAGGUAG